UAAAAUUUGGUUUGUUUUAAAAUUUUCUCGAAUUUGAGGGAGCUAAGAAUUUAUUUAUAUUAAUGUUGAAUAAUUAUUUUAUAUAAAUUCUUUGAAAUUAGACGUUAGUCGUUCUUGAGGAUAUCUGGUUUUUUUAGAAAUUAAUUUAAUUAAGCUGGUAGUAAAUAAUUUUUUUUGAAAAGAUUAAUGUUUAUACUGAGUAAUAUUUAAGGGGAUAAGCUUUUAAAUAAAAUAUUAUAAUAAUUUAUAAUUAAAGGGUUAAUAGGAAUAGAAGUUUUCAUUUUUUAGAGUGUUUUAUAACAAAAUUUUUGUUUUUUGGAUUUAUUAAUUAUUUAGGUUUUUUAUUGAAAUAUUAAAUUUAAUUUGUAUUUUUAAGUAAUUAUGAUAAAAUUAGUAUAUUUUUGAGUGGAAAUAAUUUUAUAAGGUAAGGUUAAAUUAAGGAAUUCGGCAAAUUAACUUUUUGCCUGUUUAUUAAAAACAUGGCUUUUUGUUAAUAAUUUAAGGUCGGGCCUGCCCAAUGAUUUGUUUAAUGGCCGCGGUACUCUGACCGUGCAAAGGUAGCAUAAUCAUUAGUUUUUUAAUUGAAAGCUGGAAUGAACGGUUUGACAAGAAAGUGACUGUCUUUAUUUAAUUUGAUUAGAAUUUUAUUUUUUGGUUAGAAAGCCAAAAUUGAUUUGGGGGACGAGAAGACCCUAUAGAAUUUUAUAUAUUUUUGGUGAUUAGGUUUUUAGAUUUAUUAAUUUUGUUUUUUAAAAUUUAUUUUGUUGGGGUGAUAGAAAAAUUUAAUAAACUUUUUUUUAAGAAUAAUUUCAUUAAUGUAUGAUUUGUUGAUCCAUAAAGUGUGAUUAUAAGAUUAAAUUACCUUAGGGAUAACAGCGUUAUUAAUUUGGAGAGUUCAUAUCGAUAAAUUAGUUUGCGACCUCGAUGUUGGAUUAAAAUGAACUUUUGGUGUAGAGGCUGAAAGGUUAAGUCUGUUCGACUUUUAAAAUUUU
rnacentral:rRNA from 1 species